rnacentral:rRNA from 1 species
UUGAGGAGGGUGACGGGCGGUGUGUGCGCAUUCUAGAGCUUACUUUACAAAAUUUUUAUUUAUUUUGUUACUGUUGAAUCCUUUUUUAGCAAAAUUUUUCACUUUUGCUUCCUCUGUUUUCUAAGUGUGGUAGCUCAUCUAUCCCCCACCCAUUGGCUGCACCUUGAUCUGACGUUUAGAGGAUACUUCAUUUUGCUCACUCUUUAUUUAAGGUGAGCUGACGACGAUGGUAUACAAGCUGGUUUUCUUGGAUGGGUAAGGUAUCUUGUGGGUUAUCAAUUUGAUGACAAGCUCCUCCAAGGAGGUCUAGAAAACCGCCAAGUUCUUUAAGUUUUAGCUUAGCCGUACUGCUCUGGUGGUUUUUGUUGUUUGAAAAAUAUAGUGGGGUAUCUAAUCCCAGA